UACGAAGGGGGCUAGCGUUACUCGGAAUUACUGGGCGUAAAGGGCGCGUAGGCGGCGCUCCAAGUUAGGCGUGAAAGUCCUGGGCUCAACCUGGGAACUGCGCUUAAGACUGGAGUGCUUGAGGAUGGAAGAGGGUUGUGGAAUUCCCAGUGUAGAGGUGAAAUUCGUAGAUAUUGGGAAGAACACCGGUGGCGAAGGCGGCAACCUGGUCCAUUACUGACGCUGAGGCGCGACAGCGUGGGGAGCAAACAGG
rnacentral:rRNA from 1 species